CGGAUGGGUGAGUACACGUGGGUAAGUCUGCCCUGCACUGGGGGAUAACAGUUGGAAACGACUGUAAUACCGCAUAUGCACACGUGGCCGCAUGGCCGCGGGUGGAAAGAUUCAUCGGUGCAGGAUGAGCCCGCGUCGGGAUUAACUGGUUGGCAGGGUAACGGCCUACCAAGGUGAUGAUCCGUAGCCGGCCUGAGAGGGCGACCGGCCACAUUGGGACUGAGACACGGCCCAAACUCCUACGGGAGGCAGCAGUGGGGAAUAUUGCACAAUGGGCGCAAGCCCUGAUGCAGCGACGCCGCGUGAAGGAAGAAGUAUUUCGGUAUGUAAACUUCUAUCAGCGGGGAAGAAGAUGACGGUACCCGACUAAGAAGCCCCGGCUAACUACGUGCCAGCCGCGGC
rnacentral:rRNA from 1 species